rnacentral:rRNA from 1 species
AACGAACGCUGGCGGCAUGCCUAACACAUGCAAGUCGAACGGGACCUUCGGGUUUACUGGCGGACUGGUGGGUAACCGGGUGGAAAAUGCCUAUGGAUCUGGCAUGACUUCCGGAAUGGGGUGCUGAAACCGGCUCAUAUACUCGGUCCAAAGCUUGAUAGCAUUUGGGUGGGCGUGCGUUGGAUUAGCUCGUUGGUAGGGUAAAUGGCUACCACGGCGAGGCUCCAUAGCUGGUUAGUGAGGCUGAUCACCGACACUGGGGCGGAGACACGGCCGAGACUCCUACAGGAGGCAGCAGUGGGGAAUACUGGACAAUGGGCGGAGUGCUGAUGCUGCAAGGCCUCGUGAGUGAUGAAGGUUUUGGGGAUGGAAAGCUCGUUUACCCGGGAGGGUAAUGACGGUACCGGGAGAAUAAGCACCGGCUAACUCCGUG